rnacentral:rRNA from 1 species
CCUACGGGGGGCAGCAGUGGGGAAUAUUGGACAAUGGGGGGAACCCUGAUCCAGCCAUGCCGCGUGUGUGAAGAAGGCCCUCGGGUUGUAAAGCACUUUCAGUGAGGAAGAACGCCUGGUGGUUAAUACCCAUCAGGAAAGACAUCACUCACAGAAGAAGCACCGGCUAACUCCGUGCCAGCAGCCGCGGUAAUACGGAGGGUGCGAGCGUUAAUCGGAAUUACUGGGCGUAAAGCGCGCGUAGGUGGCUUGAUAAGCCGGUUGUGAAAGCCCCGGGCUCAACCUGGGAACGGCAUCCGGAACUGUCAAGCUAGAGUGCAGGAGAGGAAGGUAGAAUUCCCGGUGUAGCGGUGAAAUGCGUAGAGAUCGGGAGGAAUACCAGUGGCGAAGGCGGCCUUCUGGACUGACACUGACACUGAGGUGCGAAAGCGUGGGUAGCAAACAGGAUGAGAUACCCUAGUAGUC